CAUCAAUGAACACAUGGAGGUAUGGAGUAUACAUUCAAUGUAGCCUUGAAGAAAAACAAUGUGUCUCCUGAUGUAAUGGUUAUGGCAUUCCUGCAUCAAUGGACACAUGGAGGUAUGGAGUAUGCAUUCAUUGUAGCCUUGAAG